UGGUCUCGUGCGAAAGAGGGCCCCCUGGCCCUUUGGUGCUGAGGAAUACUUGGAGAGGGCGGGAGCACCAGGGCAGGGUUGCCCGGGAGUUGCCAGCAGACACCAAAUCUGCUGUGUGGGAUCCGUCCGCGCGCCGCCUCCCUGCCUCCUCCUGCAGCAGCUGUGCGGAUGUGAGGAGCAGGCGGAGCGCGCCGGGGCCGGGCCCGGCCGGGAGCCGUUGUGCCCACAUCACACAGCAGGUCGGGGUUGCACGGCCAUCCGGAGAGUGACCUUAUGGCAGCCAGAGGACUCUGCCCACACCCAUAGCAUUGUACCAUGGCUCCCUUCGCCAAGCCAGAAGAAGUUCCGGGCCUCUGGAGGCCAUUCUUGACUCCCUUAGCCCACCCAGCUGGAAAAAAAGGACUCAGGCUGAGCAAACGUGGCCAAAGAGCAGCUGUGGCUCUGGGCCGCGAGUAUCUAGACUCCGAUCCUCACGGGGCAUCAUUCUGAAGCAGGUGUUGUUGGCUUUACCAUACGGGAAGAAACUGGGGCUCCGGCUCGUGCUGACGCUUACACACUGGAGAUGGAGCAUUGAUUUCAGCCCAGCUCAGCAGCCGGAGCAGCGCACGGCCCCUUCGCAGAAGAGGGGAAGGGUGAUGUCGCCAAACGUUGACACAGACUGAAGACACGUUCCGCACCAGGCACUUCCAAGGCUUUCAGUUAAGAGUUGGUCCUCAGAACAACCUUAGGAUUAGAUGCCACUAUUAUCCAAUUUUACAGAUAGAGAAUUUGAGGCAGGGAGGUUACUUAAGCCAUCCAGGUACGCUGGCCGGAAAGUGGUUGGGCUGAAAGCCUUACGUGAGUCUUCUAACUCCUGAACUGUGGCAGUGCACAGAGAGAACACCGUACAGUUAGUUUUUAUUAUUUGUGUAUGUAUGUCUGCACACACGGGCACGAUAUGUGUGAGCGUGUAUAGUCAUGGUGCAGGGGACUAAACCACAGCUUCUUCUGUGCUUUGCCCGUGCUCCAUCUUCCACUCCUGGGCUGCCCCGUGCCUGAGAGCAGCAAGAAGCGUCUCUCUCCCGAGUGAGGGCGGAUGUUGGACUCUGGGAUCUCAGGUGUUAAUGACGUUAAGUGAAUGUGUAGCAAAUUCUCUUGCGUUCUGUAAGAAAAAAAAAAAAAAAAAAUCAGGAAGAAUUAGUGUCAUUCUCUCCUGUGGAUGACACCAACAGGGCUCAUACAUCAUGGCACACACAUGCAGCCUGACUUGCGGGAGACUUUAUCUCAAAAGAGAAAACAAAAGAACCGAUAUAAAUGGUAGUUAGGUUAGGAAGCUGCUUAGUUGACGUAUAUCGUCAGCACGUCCAAUGCAACCUUAGCUGGAAGGGUGUGGAAUGACUGGGUUCAAACCAAACUGUUCCAUCAUCAUUGGCAAUGCCACCAUGUCCUUGUGCCCAUCUAGGAACCAAGGAGAAACUGUACAUAAGGACCCCUAACUGCAGAUGGAGGAAGAAAUCCAUACGGUAGCAGGGCUGUAAUGGGAGAGCCACAACUUCCAAGCAAGAACUCAUCCCAUUGGUGGCUGGAGUAUGACGUAGGGUCUGAUGUCACUUCCUGUGCCCAAGGACUGGUCUCUACUCUAGUGGCUCCAAAGGCUCCAAGUUCCCUGCAUGUUCACCUACAAUACCUUUGUCCUUCUGCCCAGCCUGGUGACAGACCACAUGAAGUUGAAUACCCCCGAAUUCUCCACUUUUCCCCUGCUCUAGGCUUCCGGCAUUGAGCCCAACACCAGGCCCACGUCUAAGAGAGGACAUGAAGGCAGGCAUCAGAGGAACUUUCCAUGCCCCUUCUCCCACAUCCAGGCUUCUGUUGGCCAAACAAAAGCUGUGGCAGGAUCCGGAUCAGCGGGCCAAGGGCAGCCAGAGGCAGCCUCAGACAAAAAGGCAAGCUGGGCAGCUAACUAAGCGUGCCUCUUGGCCUCCCCCACGGCCCAAGCAACACCUCUGAAGAAGUGACUUUACGGACACUUACACUCACAACACAGGCGACACUGUUCUGAGCACGUUAUUAGUGUAUUAACUUCCUCUUUCUGCCAAAACCAACUAUCUUUUUAAACAUUUGUUUCAUUCUGUGCAUGGGUGUUUCGUCUGCAUGCCUAUCUGUGCGCACCACAUGCAGGCCUAGUGCUUGAGGAAGCCAGAAAAGGGCACUGGAUCCACGUGCCCUUGACCGCUGAUCCAUCUCUCCGGCCCAAACUGUGAACACCUUGAAAGUCACAUUUCUUGUCUUACAUCUUUGGGUUGUGAAUUUUAAACUGUGUUCGCAGGGAUUCGCUUCUUCUCGGCCCUGGGGGAGAAUGUGCUUGCUUGUUUGACCUUUCUGGAAGCCACUCAUAUCCCAUAGGUCAUCAUUUCUGCCUAUGCAAGGGUCUUUCUGGUGACAGAAGGCCUAACCAGAUAAUGAAGGAUAAUUCAUUAUUAUUAUUGUUGUUGUUGACAGGGUCUCACUAUGUGGCUCUGGCUGGCCUGGAACUGUAUAUGUAGACCAGGCUGGCCUCACACUCACAGAGAUCCACCUGCCUCUACCUCCCAGGUGCUGUGCAAUCCAGGAUAACUGAUUCAUUUCAGGAUUCUUAAAUUUAAUUUUAAUUUUAUGGGUAUGAGUGUUGCCUGCGUGUGUGUCUGUACCACAUCUGUGCCCAGUGAUCAAAGAGGCCGGAAGAGGCCGUAUGAGGUUCUGGAAUCUAGACAGCUGGGAGCCGUGGUGAGGGUUCUGGGAACCAAAUCCAGGUCCUCUGCAGGAGAGGCUAACGCUGAGCCGUCCCUCCAGCGCCUGCCUGUGCUCUCAAUUCUAAUCACACCUGGAAAACUCCAUUUGCCACGGAGGCAACCUGUCCUGUGUUUUGAACACUUCGAGGGCGCCGGCGUUCUUAGUAACGACAGCAAGCACCACCUCACCGAGCCGUGAUGGCAGCCUUGGACCGUAAGCACCAUCACCACUCUGUAAAAAUCCAUCCUAGAGGCCCCGGACCAAGGUCACACAUACACCAGGAAAGUAACACAGUUAAAAACACGUCCCCUGACUGCGCUUCCACGCGAUGGGGGGCUUGGUAAACAGACGCUCUGUGUCUGCAGGUGCACACUGUCAGCUGGCAGGGCUGUGUGUCUUUCACACACACACACACACACACACACGCAGAAUUUUUGUGCAUGUGUAUUCUGCUCACUUACUGAGGCACUACAGACACAAGCGUAUAUACAAAAUAUCUGGGCACGUGCAUCCGCCCUCAUCCCUUUGGGUCAUUCACACGCUCCUCACACCCAGCGGCACCAUGCCCCGAACACGUGCACUGCACACGAAGGUAUCAUACCUCAAGUACUGUCUGCGCAUGCGUAUCAUGCAGACGCAGCAACCGUGCUUUUGCUUUUCAUCGUGUUUGGGCUUACCCUCGAUUAGAAGAACCACACAGCGCCUUUUGAUGCAUGCACCCUGCACAGCACACACGCACUGCACAGGAGCACGCCACGCAGACGCGCAUCCCGAACCUAGGCUCCUGUGCCGGCUACUUACAGCUCACCCACGCACUCGGUGCACACACAGACACGCUACACGCUGAGGCGUACCUCACACAGCGUACAUCUCAAAUCAUCUCGCCCGCAUGCCCUAGUUACACGCACAUUUCGUGUAUUUGUUCUCCGUACGGAGAGCCUGACCACACACACAGUCCUGCGCACAUUUAAACACACACACAGCGAAGCACACGCUGCAGCCUUUCUUAACACAGUCUGCGCACACUUCCUGCAGUUACGGAGAGGUACGCGUCCUACGCAGAGACUCUGAAUUCCAUACCGAGGUCUCCGCUCCACUCACCGCACCCCAGAAGACACAGCCUCACAGACGUGCAAGCCCACUCGAGGUGUGACGCGGCUUCUCCCCCC